rnacentral:rRNA from 1 species
GACGAACGCUGGCGGCGUGCUUAACACAUGCAAGUCGAACGGAAAGGCCCUGCUUUUGUGGGGUGCUCGAGUGGCGAACGGGUGAGUAACACGUGAGUAACCUGCCCUUGACUUUGGGAUAACUUCAGGAAACUGGGGCUAAUACCGGAUAGGAGCUCCUGCUGCAUGGUGGGGGUUGGAAAGUUUCGGCGGUUGGGGAUGGACUCGCGGCUUAUCAGCUUGUUGGUGGGGUAGUGGCUUACCAAGGCUUUGACGGGUAGCCGGCCUGAGAGGGUGACCGGCCACCUUGGGACUGGGAUUCCGCCCCGGCUCCUACGGGGGGCAGGCGUGGGGAAUAUUGCCCCAUGGGCGGAAGCCUGAUGCCGCCACGCCGCGUGGGGGAUGACGGCCUUCGGGUUUGAAACCGCUUUCGCCUGUGACGAAGCGUGAGUGACGGUAAUGGGUAAAGAAGCACCGGCUAACUACGUG